CUUCCGGCGCGCGCGGCCCGAGGCCCUUCAGCUCCCCGCCUGGGGUCCGUCCGGCAGCAGAGCCAAGGUUCUCACCACGGCUAAGUUAGACCCGACUCCUUAUGUGGCCUUUUCUGUUUAACGUCUGCCUCCCUACUAAAUCGGUUAAGUUCUGUAACGGCAAGGACACGGCCCUGUUUUAGGACUCUGGGCUCGGUGCCUGCACGGAGGAGGCAUUCCGUAAGUACGGCUAAAGAAACGUGUGGAAACACACCCGGGACCUCCUCCUCCUCCUCCUGGGAAGGGCCACUGGUUUGGCAGGGAAGGCAGAUGUGGAAGGGCAUCAGCCUCUGAGAGUAUGGACUCUGGAGUCCGACCACUUUGUUUGAGAACAGGCCAGACUACACCACUUGCAAGCCGUGGGGCCCGAGACAAAGUUUGACUUCUCAGCUUCUGUUGAGUAAGACCGUAGAGCCGAGACCUUAAAGUGCUGUGAAGAUGAACAGGUAGAGACAGUGCUCCGCUGCACAGUGAAAACUCCGUGUUUUCUGUUACAAUUAAGUAAGCAAACCAUGCAGAUACAUUAUCGUCACAGCCAUCCUGCAGCCAGCAGUUUUGUCCAAAAGUGCCCUGGGGGUUCUUGGGUUGCUUGGACUGAGAGCUAGCUGGGACCAGGCUCUCCCCUCCUCCCACAGGGAAGGCCCUGAUCUCAGCUCGGCGCUUCCAGCCCUCCACAUGGGUACCCUAGACAACUCUGUAAACACAGACACUUAGAAACACAAUUCUGGUCCCAAGCAGUCAACCUAUGGCUUCCACUGACAAGGCUGCUUUCUCACAUUUACCUAUAAGAAGGUAGAAGGAGCUCUUUCUUCCCUGAAACCGCAGCACCUCUCUCCAGAAUUCCCUUUGGGGAUGAUGGAAGACUCAAUGGACCGGUGCUCUUUUUUUACCGACCCCUAGCUGAUAAGUUUCCCCAAUAAAGCCUAUUCUAUAACUCA